CAGUCGUCCAGCCGGCGCGUCGAGUACCAUUGGCCUUGAAAGAGCAGCUUCGACACGAGCUGGAGCGUAUGGAGCGGGAAGGCAUAAUCACGAAGGUGACUGAGCCUACUGAAUGGGAAAACAGCUCGUGCUCGCGGGCAUGCUGUCUCGAGCACCCAGCAAUUUGGACACAGAUGCGGUUGGCACCACUGACGUAGAAGUGAACGCCGACUUCUCCCUCAGAGUGUGGCCGGUCGCCAGCGGAGACCCUCCAAGGCUGCCAACUGCAAACACUGCUGCCUGCCUUCGAAUGUGGACCAGCCCACCAAGUUGUUAAGCACCGUCAGCUUCAAACUUCCGCACAGCCACUAGCACCACUCCACAAAGGCGAUGUCGUGCGAGUCCAGACCGGCACGUGGGCCACGAAAGCACCAGGUUCUGAAACCGUCGAUGCACCCCAGGUCGUACCAUGUCAUCACGCCGGAGGAGCAGCACUUUCGGCGCAGUUGCAAAUGCCUACUACCGACCGGGGAGACCUUUCAGCGUGACUUCAUUCCCAACGGUAGCGGCAUAGAACCCGAGUGCUCAACAUCUGCUCAUCGCACCGAGGACGCAGCACCGAGUAAUGGUGUUACGACAGCCGCGGACAUGUUCCACAGUGUGCUGCCAAUGCCAGCCAGUGUUCCGGGAACUGCAGACACACCGAGGAGGUCCCUGAGGCAAGCAAGAUCACCCCGACGACUACAGUAUGAUCGGAACUUUGAAUAGAUUUCCUAAACACGCUGUGUCAAUAUUUAUAUGCUUUACUUUCGUUACAAAUGUGUAACCUCGGAAUCAUCGUUAUACCACAUCUGUAAAUACUUGCGCUGUUUAUUUUAUUUUCUUUCUCGUAACGAAAAGGAUGUAUCAUAUAGCGUCUGACACAUGUGCUAUGCAUGAUAAGCUGAGGGGGCGUAGUCCCACUUCUCUGUAUAUCAUCACAUGACCAUUUGAGGGGCGUUGCCCCAUUUUACUGUAUAAUAUAACUGCUCAAUAAA